rnacentral:rRNA from 1 species
UACGUAGGGUCCGAGCGUUGUCCGGAAUUACUGGGCGUAAGAGCUCGUAGGUGGUUUGUCACGUUGUUCGUGAAAACCCACAGCUCAACUGUGGGCGUGCGAGCGAUACGGGCAGACUAGAGUACUGCAGGGGAGACUGGAAUUCCUGGUGUAGCGGUGGAAUGCGCAGAUAUCAGGAGGAACACCGGUGGCGAAGGCGGGUCUCUGGGCAGUAACUGACGCUGAGGCGCGAAAGCGUGGGGAGCAAACAGG